rnacentral:rRNA from 1 species
UACGUAGGGCGCAAGCGUUAUCCGGAAUUAUUGGGCGUAAAGAGCUCGUAGGCGGUUUGUCGCGUCUGCCGUGAAAGUCCGGGGCUCAACUCCGGAUCUGCGGUGGGUACGGGCAGACUAGAGUGAUGUAGGGGAGACUGGAAUUCCUGGUGUAGCGGUGAAAUGCGCAGAUAUCAGGAGGAACACCGAUGGCGAAGGCAGGUCUCUGGGCAUUAAACUGACGCUGAGGAGCGAAAGCAUGGGGAGCGAACAGG